UCAUUCUAACUACACACAUUCAACACAGCUUUAGGGUAAGUUUUGCCAUGUGUCAAUCACACAAUGCAGCAGUAGAAAUCUUAGCUGGACAAAAUGACAAAAACUUUGCUUCUUCUGGCCAUCAUUUUGAAUUUCUUUUCCCUCCCUUUCAUCUCAUUUCUUGCUGGGCCAAAAAACACCAGUCCAUCCUAUUCGGUCCAGUCCNNNNNNNNNNNNCCCCUGAACAGCACUGCACGUUUCAGAGAGUUCAGACAAUGAAAGCAACAUCACGUUCCUCUCUCUUUGGUUUCAAAUUUCAAAUUCUCCUUUAGUUUCAUCUUCCACACACUCUGUCACUCUAUCUCUCAGUAUCUAUCUAUCUAUCGAAAUUUCCUUCCAAUUCCAUUUCUAAAAACACCAAAACCUAUGGUAGGAGGAAGAAGAUGACCGAGAUUCAAGAAUUUGGAGGAAAUAAAGCUACUUAUGGAAGAACUGAAGAAGAUUUUUGUUAUACUCAUAAAGGUAACACUGUGAUAUAAAAUAUUUUGGUUUUUGUUUGUUCAUUUAGAUUGACAUAAAUAGAUCUUUUGUGUAUGUUUUUAGGUGUUUUUUGAAAAAAAGAACCUAUGAGUGGCCAUGAAGUUGUUCUCGAGUAAGUUUUAAACUUUCUGCAGCUUUAUUUAUUUAUUUAUUUAUGUUUUUCAUUUUAUGUUUGUUUCACUCCUCUGCUUAAUGAUUGAUUGUUCGCUGCUAUUGAAAUUUGUUUCAAUUGAUUGUUCUCUAUUUUAUUGAAACAGGAUGAUUCAUAUGUUGACAUCUAUAUCAGUACAAUUGAACUGGACUUUGUAAGCAUUCACAUCCAC
rnacentral:lncRNA from 1 species